AUACGUAGGUGACAAGCGUUAUCCGGAUUUACUGGGCGUAAAGGGCGUGUAGGCGGUCUUGCAAGUCAGAAGUGAAAUUCCUGAGCUCAACUCGGGCGCUGCUUCUGAAACUGCAGGACUUGAGUGCUGGAGGGGAUAGCGGAAUUCCUAGUGGAGCGGUAAAAUGCGCAGAUAUUAGGAAGAACACCGAUGGCGAAGGCGGCUAGCUGGACAGUAACUGAAGCUGAGGAGCGAAAGCGUGGGGAGCAAACAGGAUUAGAUACCCUGGUAGUCCACGCUGUAAACGAUGAUUACUAGGUGUGGGAGGACUGACCCCUUCCGUGCCGCAGUUAACACAAUAAGUAAUCCACCUGGGGAGUACGGCCGCAAGGUUGAAACUCAAAUGAAUUGACGGGG
rnacentral:rRNA from 1 species